rnacentral:rRNA from 1 species
UACGAAGGUCCCAAGCGUUAUCCGGAUUUAUUGGGUUUAAAGGGUGCGUAGGCGGCUUAUUAAGUCAGUGGUGAAAGCUCCAUGCUUAACAUGGAAAUUGCCAUUGAUACUGAUGAGCUUGAGUAGAUUUGAAGUGGGCGGAAUGUGUCGUGUAGCGGUGAGAUGCUUAGAUAUGACACAGAACACCGAUUGCGUAGGCAGCUCACUAAACUCUCACUGACGCUGAGGCACGAAAGCAUGGGGAUCAAACAGG